rnacentral:lncRNA from 1 species
UUGAGUUUCCAUCAUCAUUGAUUCGAACACCCAGAAGAGCAAAUAAUUUUGCACUGAAGUUCUUUCCCAAUUCAAAGUCCAGCUUAGAGAAGUCCAUAGGGGGGAAGGCCAAAGAUCAAGAAAAAGACGUGGGGUGCUCAAACAAUCCCAGCAGGGGGGUUAGAGAAGACAUCCAUGAUGAAUCAGAGAGGCUUAUUCAUCACCUAGCGAGGAUAGAUAAAGAAUCUUCGCUGCCAACUCGGAGAAGAAUGCACUGACUUGGGGAGAUGUUUCUUGAGGAGGAGGCCAUCGCUUCAGCAGAGCUGGUUCAAACAUCAGUGAAAGGUUGGGGGAGGGGAACGGUGGCCAGCGGGGUCGAGGUGGUCGUCGCCGGGAGGCAGUGGACGCCGGGACCGGGGUGGUCACCGGCGAUGGUGAGUGUGUGGACGCCGGACCGGGGUGGUGACCGGCGGUGGAAGGUGGAGCUCACCGUGCUCUUCUGCCUGCCGGUCCUCCACUGAACAUUGCCGCUCACAAAGCUGUCAACCUGGGCUUGGUACACGUAGCGUCCG